ACACUAUCAUUAACUGAAUCCAUAGGUUAAUGAGGCGAACCGGGGGAACUGAAACAUCUAAGUACCCCGAGGAAAAGAAAUCAACCGAGAUUCCCCCAGUAGCGGCGAGCGAACGGGGAGGAGCCCAGAGCCUGAAUCAGCAUGUGUGUUAGUGGAAGCGUCUGGAAAGGCGCGCGAUACAGGGUGACAGCCCCGUACACAAAAGCGCAUAUGCUGUGAGCUCGAUGAGUAGGGCGGGACACGUGGUAUCCUGUCUGAAUAUGGGGGGACCAUCCUCCAAGGCUAAAUACUCCUGACUGACCGAUAGUGAACCAGUACCGUGAGGGAAAGGCGAAAAGAACCCCGGCGAGGGGAGUGAAAAAGAACCUGAAACCGUGUACGUACAAGCAGUGGGAGCCCCACCACUAAGCCAGUGGUGAACUCCACAUACGCAUCCUUUGCUGAGGAUGCGGUUAACGGAGCGAAAGCGACGUUCAACCGCAAAAGAAGCAGAGGGGGCUUAGUGGUGGGGUGACUGCGUACCUUUUGUAUAAUGGGUCAGCGACUUAUAUUCUGUAGCAAGGUUAACCGAAUAGGGGAGCCGGAGGGAAACCGAGUCUUAAUUGGGCGUUAAGUUGCAGGGUAUAGACCCGAAACCCGGUGAUCUAGCCAUGGGCAGGUUGAAGGUUGGGUAACACUAACUGGAGGACCGAACCGACUAAUGUUGAAAAAUUAGCGGAUGACCUGUGGCUGGGGGUGAAAGGCCAAUCAAACCGGGAGAUAGCUGGUUCUCCCCGAAAGCUAUUUAGGUAGCGCCUCGUGAAUUCAUCUCCGGGGGUAGAGCACUGUUUCGGCUAGGGGGCCAUCCCGGCUUACCAACCCGAUGCAAACUGCGAAUACCGGAGAAUGUUAUCACGGGAGACACACGGCGGGUGCUAACGUCCGUCGUGAAGAGGGAAACAACCCAGACCGCCAGCUAAGGUCCCAAAGUCAUGGUUAAGUGGGAAACGAUGUGGGAAGGCCCAGACAGCCAGGAUGUUGGCUUAGAAGCAGCCAUCAUUUAAAGAAAGCGUAAUAGCUCACUGGUCGAGUCGGCCUGCGCGGAAGAUGUAACGGGGCUAAACCAUGCACCGAAGCUGCGGCAGCGACGCUGAUGCGUUGUUGGGUAGGGGAGCGUUCUGUAAGCCUGCGAAGGUGGCCUGUGAGGGUUGCUGGAGGUAUCAGAAGUGCGAAUGCUGACAUAAGUAACGAUAAAGCGGGUGAAAAGCCCGCUCGCCGGAAGACCAAGGGUUCCUGUCCAACGUUAAUCGGGGCAGGGUGAGUCGACCCCUAAGGCGAGGCCGAAAGGCGUAGUCGAUGGGAAACGGGUUAAUAUUCCCGUACUUGGUGUUACUGCGAAGGGGGGACGGAGAAGGCUAUGUUGGCCGGGCGACGGUUGUCCCGGUUUAAGCGUGUAGGUGUGUGUUCCAGGUAAAUCCGGUUCACUUUAACACUGAGGCGUGAUGACGAGGCACUACGGUGCUGAAGCAACAAAUGCCCUGCUUCCAGGAAAAGCCUCUAAGCAUCAGGUAACAUCAAAUCGUACCCCAAACCGACACAGGUGGUCAGGUAGAGAAUACCAAGGCGCUUGAGAGAACUCGGGUGAAGGAACUAGGCAAAAUGGUGCCGUAACUUCGGGAGAAGGCACGCUGACACGUAGGUGAAGUGAUUUACUCAUGGAGCUGAAGUCAGUCGAAGAUACCAGCUGGCUGCAACUGUUUAUUAAAAACACAGCACUGUGCAAACACGAAAGUGGACGUAUACGGUGUGACGCCUGCCCGGUGCCGGAAGGUUAAUUGAUGGGGUCAGCGCAAGCGAAGCUCCUGAUCGAAGCCCCGGUAAACGGCGGCCGUAACUAUAACGGUCCUAAGGUAGCGAAAUUCCUUGUCGGGUAAGUUCCGACCUGCACGAAUGGCGUAAUGAUGGCCAGGCUGUCUCCACCCGAGACUCAGUGAAAUUGAACUCGCUGUGAAGAUGCAGUGUACCCGCGGCAAGACGGAAAGACCCCGUGAACCUUUACUAUAGCUUGACACUGAACAUUGAGCCUUGAUGUGUAGGAUAGGUGGGAGGCUUUGAAGUGUGGACGCCAGUCUGCAUGGAGCCGGCCUUGAAAUACCACCCUUUAAUGUUUGAUGUUCUAACGUGGACCCGUGAUCCGGGUUGCGGACAGUGUCUGGUGGGUAGUUUGACUGGGGCGGUCUCCUCCUAAAGAGUAACGGAGGAGCACGAAGGUUGGCUAAUCCUGGUCGGACAUCAGGAGGUUAGUGCAAUGGCAUAAGCCAGCUUGACUGCGAGCGUGACGGCGCGAGCAGGUGCGAAAGCAGGUCAUAGUGAUCCGGUGGUUCUGAAUGGAAGGGCCAUCGCUCAACGGAUAAAAGGUACUCCGGGGAUAACAGGCUGAUACCGCCCAAGAGUUCAUAUCGACGGCGGUGUUUGGCACCUCGAUGUCGGCUCAUCACAUCCUGGGGCUGAAGUAGGUCCCAAGGGUAUGGCUGUUCGCCAUUUAAAGUGGUACGCGAGCUGGGUUUAGAACGUCGUGAGACAGUUCGGUCCCUAUCUGCCGUGGGCGCUGGAGAACUGAGGGGGGCUGCUCCUAGUACGAGAGGACCGGAGUGGACGCAUCACUGGUGUUCGGGUUGUCAUGCCAAUGGCACUGCCCGGUAGCUAAAUGCGGAAGAGAUAAGUGCUGAAAGCAUCUAAGCACGAAACUUGCCCCGAGAUGAGUUCUCCCUGAGACUUCGAGUCUCCUGAAGGAACGUUGAAGACGAAGACGUUGA
rnacentral:rRNA from 1 species